GAUGAACGCUAGCGAUAGGCCUAACACAUGCAAGUCGAGGGGCAUCACAUGAAGUAGCAAUACGGAUGGUGGCGACCGGCGCACGGGUGAGUAACACGUAUGCAACCUGCCUUCAACAAGGGGAUAACCCGUUGAAAGACGGACUAAUACCCUAUAACACAGGGGUCCCGCAUGGGAAUAUUUGUUAAAGGACAACCGGUUGAAGAUGGGCAUGCGUUCCAUUAGCUAGUUGGCGGGGUAACGGCCCACCAAGGCAACGAUGGAUAGGGGAACUGAGAGGUUUAUCCCCCACACUGGUACUGAGACACGGACCAGACUCCUACGGGAGGCAGCAGUGAGGAAUAUUGGUCUAAGGACGCAAGUCUGAACCAGCCACGUCGCGUGAAGGAAGACGGCCCUACGGGUUGUAAACUUCUUUUAUACGGGAAUAAAGUGCCCCACGCGUGGGGUUUUGCAUGUACCGUAUGAAUAAGGAUCGGCUAACUCCGUGCCAGC
rnacentral:rRNA from 1 species